UAGAUUUACAACACAAACUGUUUAAAUUUUAUUUUCUUUUGUUUCUUUAUUCUGUUUAAUUAAAAAUGUCUUUUUUUUUUGUCAGGAAAUGCCAACCAUCUUGAGGAGUAAGAAGAACUCUUCGCAAACCUCAUGAAAACAAUGGGACUUCUUGUUCAUUAUGGACUGUUUACGAGUACUCAAUUCACCGGAGUGCCUAAGCAGUAAUGAGAUUCGUUUUGGAACUCUACAACUUCUAUUGUUGGGGUCUUUCUAUUUUGUUAAGCAAUUUAUAAAAUGAUAUGGUUCUUAUUUAGAACCGCUGUUACAAAAGCCCUUGUUUUAACAGUUUGACUGGUAAUUUAAAAAGUGUGUCUAUCUGAACUACAUUAAACAAACAAAAAAUGA